rnacentral:rRNA from 1 species
CGUGUAGGCGGUUUGUUAAGUCUGGUGUGAAAGCCCUGGGCUCAACCUGGGAAUUGCGAUGGAAACUGGGCGACUAGAGUGUGGCAGAGGGUAGUGGAAUUCCUGGUGUAGCAGUGAAAUGCGUAGAGAUUAGGAAGAACACCAGUGGCGAAGGCGACUUACUGGACUGUAACUGACGCUGAGGCACGAAAGCGUGGGUAGCGAACA